AUUAACUCGCAGGACAGACAGUUUACCAUAAACACUCAAGUACAGAAAGAAAUCAAUAACCUUACCAUUACAGUAAAUAAAAUCCUGAAAUUAACAAAAGAAAGAGAAAUAAACACCGGUCACCUUUAUGACAUACUACUGGCUAGAAACAGAGCAAUUAUUACAGAAUUAAAUAACAUUAUAACAGCUGUCACUUUCGCCAAAAUUGGGGUCUUAAGUCCCAUUCUCUUAGACAGUAACGAAAUAAAUUUCAUAACAGGAGACGAGCACUUCACUGACCUUACCGUGGCCGAUGUUAUGGCAGUAGCUAGAAUUAAGAUAUUACAGUAUAAUAACAUAAUUUACUUUUUAAUAAGAUAUCCGAUUCCUAUGUUUAGAUGUAAGAAAAUUACUAUUUUACCGGUAGCUCAUGGCCACCAAAUCCUGCACCUAGAAGAAUCCAUCUUAGCCAAGUGUUAUAACCAUACCGUAGCCGUAAAGAACUGCAGCGACACAACACCAACGUUUUGCUUACCAUCUCCGACUACAUCAUGCGCUCUGCAACUACUGACUCGCAACACCGCUAAUUGCAGUACAACAUUUAACAACCUCACACCAAUUUCACCGAUAAGUGACGGCCUUGUUGUCAUCAAUGACCAAUUGGCUGUCAUCGAGGAAAAUAAUGAGGUCCCUAUUACGGUCAACGGAACAUACCUCGUGGUCUUCAAAAACAACGUAAAGAUUAAUGGUACGACUUUUUAUAACGAAAAUUCUACAUUGCCUCUAAAACCUGAAACUCCAUGGGCUUCUACAAUCAACUUGACGCAGCACACAGAAAUAUUAAGCGCUUCUUACCUUCACCAUGUGAAUCUAGAGAAUGUUCAAAGGAUCAAUCACCUGCAGCGAUCAAUCCAUUAUGGCCACGUUACAGGUUUCUCAGCCAUUGGUGUCUUAUUAAUCAUGGCAUUCACUGUUUACGUCCUUCUCAGGAUAAGGAGGACCAAGAGAGAGAUUAUCAUAGCCAGGUCCGUUGAAACUGCAAUUAAAACCGCUUCUUUGAGGACCGAGGACGUUCCCCAUUUAGAAGGGGAGGAGUUAUCGCGAAGAAACGACACACCCUAAUUCCCGUCGUAAUAAGAGCCUACCACUCUGCACAUGUCGCUAAGUCAGCACAUUUUGCGUGAGAACAUUGGCCAGACAUCUAAGUAAACAAACACCAUGCACGAGGCGCAAGGUCAGCAAAACGUCAGCAGAGGAGCUACAACGCGAUGCGGGUUGGUGGCUUGAGCUAAGUUAGGAAUAAUUUAAUGGGCACUUUAUACUUGACAACUAAGCCGUGAUGACGGCAAAUAAAAUAACUUCAAAUUGAAUAAUACAUUUGAAUAAUUUACACAUACUAUUGUUUCAGGUAAUUAUGGCUACGGUGACCAUCCGUACUGAUUUUCGCAGUACUGUACUGAUUUUGAAGCACCUGUUGUGCGUUUUUUUUUUGUGAAAAUGGCAAAAAUGUUCUGUUUUUUUUCCGAACGUACUGUUUUUUGUUCUGAAAUUUAGCACCAAGCAGCUUAAGAAGUUUCUACUACUGGACAGCCCUUUAAUGAUUAAGGUAUUAUCAAUAUUAAAUUGUCAUCCCUGAUGUGAACAGCUGAUUGCGGGUUUGAAUUAUUAUGCUUUCUGUAAUGUUCAAUUGACAAACAACUAGCUUUACAAAAUGCCUCCUUCCGCAGAAAAUGCGUUUUUAAUAAACAACUACAAGAAGAAUACACCUUCAUAAAGGAAAUUAACAGCGGUACAGUGAAAUGUACAAAAUGUUCUGCAGUUUUCUCUAUUGCCAAUGCAGGUAAACACGAUGUGCUCCGCCAUUUACAAUCUCAGAAACAUCGAAAAGCCGAUAUUGGAGCUUCUAGCAGCAAAACUGUGAUGAGCUUUGUAAGGACACGUACAAUAGACGAUCAGCGAAGAAAAAGCAGCGUAAAUGAAGGCACCUGGGCAUAUCACACUGUGCAGCAUAAUUUUUCAUUUCGUUCCAAUGACUGCACAUCGAAAAUCAUUAAAAGAUGUUUUGACGAAAAUUAUUCAUCAGCUCGCACCAAGUGUCAAUCUAUUGUUUAUAAUGUGUUAGCAUGCAUUGCAACUAGUGAAAGCUGAUUUUAAUGCUAUCAAUUUUACUGCCGUUUUUUCCGACUGCUCAAAUCAUGGAAGUAUGAAAGUGUGUCCUGUUCUUGUUCGAUAUUUUCUGUCUGAGAAAGGUGUGCAAUUAAAAAUAUUGGAAGUAAAUGAUCUCCGUGGUGAAUCGUCAGAUAUACAAACAAAUUAUAUUUCUGAUCUCAUGAAAAAGUUUGCAUUAAGUGAGAAGUUACUUGCUCUUUGUGCAGAUAACACUAAUUGUAACUUUGGAGGAGCUGCAAGACAGGGGAAAAAUAAUCUUUUCCAUAAAUUGGCAGAAUCCACUGGCAGCACCCUUAUUGGCGUAAACUGUGCUGCUCAUACUGUUAUUAAUUGCAUACAAAGUUCAAUAGAGUGUCUUCCGGUGGAUAUUGAAGUCAUUGUCGUUAAAAUAUAUUCUUACUUUUGUAUUAUAUAUACACGGUUAGAGUAGAGCAUUUAAAAGAAAUU